rnacentral:rRNA from 1 species
CCCUGCAUUCAGUUGCCAUCGGUAAGGCCGGGCACUCUGGAUGGACUGCCGGCGACAAGCCGGAGGAAGGUGGGGAUGACGUCAAGUCAUCAUGGCCCUUAUGUCCAGGGCGACACACGUGCUACAAUGGCCGGCACAACGGGAAGCGAAGGGGCGACCCUGAGCGGAUCCCCAUAAAAGACCGGUCCCAGUUCGGAUUGCAGUCUGCAACUCGACUGCAUGAAGUUGGAAUCGCUAGUAAUCGUGGAUCAGCCAAGCCGCGGUGAAUACGUUCCCGGGCCUU